rnacentral:rRNA from 1 species
AUGAACGCUGGCGGCGUGCUUAACACAUGCAAGUCGAACGGGAUCCCAGGAGCUUGCUCCUGGGUGAGAGUGGCGAACGGGUGAGUAAUGCGUGACCGACCUGCCCCAUACACCGGAAUAGCUCCUGGAAACGGGUGGUAAUGCCGGAUGCUCCAGUUGACCGCAUGGUCCUCUGGGAAAGCUUUUGCGGUAUGGGAUGGGGUCGCGUCCUAUCAGCUUGAUGGCGGGGUAACGGCCCACCAUGGCUUCGACGGGUAGCCGGCCUGAGAGGGCGACCGGCCACAUUGGGACUGAGAUACGGCCCAGACUCUUACGGGAGGCAGCAGUGGGGAAUAUUGCACAAUGGGCGCAAGCCUGAUGCAGCGACGCCGCGUGCGGGAUGACGGCCUUCGGGUUGUGAACCGCUUUUGACUGGGAGCAAGCC